rnacentral:rRNA from 1 species
AUUGAACGCUGGCGGCAGGCCUAACACAUGCAAGUCGAGCGGAGCGGCGGACGGGUGGGUAAUGCCUGGGAAUCUGCCUGGUAGUGGGGGAUAACGUCGGGAAACGGGCGCUAAUACCGCAUACUAUCGGAUGAGCCAAGGUCGGAUUAGCUAGUUGGUGGGGUAACGGCUUACCAAGUCGACGCUCCGUAACUGGUCUUAGAGGAGGAUCAGUCAAACUGGAACUGAGACACGGGCCAGACUCCUACGGGAGGCAGCAGUGGGGAAUAUUGGACAAUGGGCGAAAGCCUGAUCCAGCCAUGCCGCGUGUGUGAAGAAGGUCUGCGGAUUGUAAAGCACUUUAAGUUGGGAGGCGUUACCAACAGAAUAAGCACCGGCUAACUUCGUGCCAGCCGCCGCGGUAAUAC